rnacentral:tRNA from 1 species
AUCAGUUUGGCCGAGUGGUUAAGGCGAUAGACUUGAAUUGACUAUCAGUUUAAGAUAUCUAUUGGGCUCUGCCCGCGUCGGUUCAAAUCCGGCAGCUGAUG